rnacentral:misc_RNA from 1 species
GAAUUUAGAUGUCGUGAGUUUCUUUAUAUUUUCUAUAUUAUAUAAACAUAAAUAUGUAGUAAAAUAAGUUAAUAAUAUGCUAGUUAGAAGUGGUGAAUUUGCUUGUGAUGAAUUAGGUAUGUUGAACUUCGCGUUUAUGAUAAGCUAAUUAGGUAAGCUUUAAGAGAAUAACUGCCAUUAGUUAAAUUUUGUGAACUUAGGUUUGGCGGAUUUGCUUGAUAUUUUCCAUGGUAUAUAAGCAUAGAAAAGUAAUUAAAUCAGUAAGUAAUAUGCUAGUGAUUAGUGCCCGUGGGGAGUUAGAUAUGUUGAAUUAAGCCUUAGUGAUUCGGUCAUCUAAAGUUUAACAAAAAUAUGUAAAUUUUAAGAAAGUAAAUGUCAUUAGAUAUGGUUAAUUUAGAAGCGGGAAAUUAAGGUGUGGUGAGUUUACGUGAUAUUUUCAAUAUUAUAUAAGCUCAGCUUUUGUGAUAAGCUGAAUUAUGUAGGCUUUACGAGUAUAAGUGGAAUUAGUUAAAUUUUAUGAACUUUGAUUUGGUGGGUUUCUUUGAUAUUUUCAAUACCAUGUUAACAUAGAAAUGUACAUAUGUAAAUAAAUUAGUAAGUAACACGCUAGUGACAUUUGGUGAAUUUUCCCGUGGUGGUUAGGUAUGCUGAAUUAAGUCUUGGUGAUUCGGUCGUCUUAAGUUUAACUUUUGUAAGCUUUAAGAAAGUAAUUGUCAUUAGUUAGAUGUGGUUAAUUUAGAACUGGUGAGUUUAGGUGUGGUGUGUUACUUUAGUAAUUUCCAUAUUAUAUUAACAGAAAAAUGUCAUUAAAUCAGUUAAUAAUAUGUUUACGAGGUAUGACAAUUUCACCUCUGGUGAGUUAGGUACUUUUAAUUAAGCUUUGGUAAUACAGAUGACUGCAUGAAGUUUAGUUGAAUUAAGUAAGCUUUAAGUGAGUGUCAUUAGUUAUAGGUCAGGUGGUGAACUUAAAAGUGGUGAGUUUAGAUGUGAUGGAUUUCUUUAAUGUUUUAGAUAACAUUAAUAUAAAAAUGUAAUUAAAUCAGAUUGUAAUAUGUUGUUUAGAUAUGGUAAAUUUGGCUGUGUUGAGUUAGGGAUGUUGAAUUAAGCCGUAGUGAAUAUGAACGAAAUUUGUUAACAUAAUUAGCGAAAAAAAUGCUAUUAGUUAGAUGUGGUGAAUUUAGAAGUGGUGAGUUUAGGUGUGGUGAGUUUUAUUUAUACUUUGUUUUUUUCUCUACGUAUAAAAAUUUUUGAUGCUGAUCUUAAACUAUACCCUUUUCUUCAACCAAAUGCGGUCAGUAAUUUGCUCUUAGAAAUUAAACUCACUAACUAUAAGCUGAACGAAGAGAAUCUUAGAAAUAUAAAAAGUCGCACAAGUAAUAUAUUUCAGACCAUAUACACUAUUUGUUUACAGCAACAAUUUUGGAUUUUAUGCUUUAAAUCGCCUGAAAUAUGUAUGCGCCAUAGUUACAGAGUGUUCUUAGUUUCGAAGAGAGUCUGGUAGAAUUUUUGUAGUAAUAUAGAAGUAUACAGUAGGUGGUUAAGGGGAUCAAAGGGGUUUGAGUUCUAAAAUCUUGCGUAAUUUUGACAUUUUUUUCCUGUUAAACAUUUCAUUCUUCAAGAACCGCUUUUUUCCAUUUAAUAUACUUAUUCCGGUAUAUAUGGACUUAGUACUUGGACUUCUGAUGUAUUGGUACAUAUGUACAUAUGUAUAUAAUAUAAACAUACAUAUAUACCGCUUGUGAAUACCCUUUGUCCCCCCCUUCUUUUGUGCUCUCCAACGAAUAUACACAACAAAAACAAUCAAAAAUUUUCCAUCAAAGUUUUUUUUUUUGAAAAUUUGAUUAUCAAGAAAUAAUGUAAACUUCAAAAACGCACUGCGAAUACACAGGCGAUGGAACCAAGUCGCACGAGAGUUUGCAUUUGUUAUUUAAUAUCGACAUUUCUAAUUGGUUACUUCAUCUACAUACUGGUCUCAAGCAAUUUGGAGAAUAGGCGCAAACUCGGCCGACUGCGUGAGGAGGUCGACGAGAUAGCGCACGUUGUGCUGCACACAGCGCCGGGACAAGGGGACACAAAGCACUUAAAUGAGAUCGUUGACGGCAUACUGAAGAAGCGGCUCGCCGGCAUCUGGGAUGACUUGUACACGAUGAAAAAGCAGUUGCGGCUCACAGAAUGUACCGGCCGCACGACAACGACGGCACACACCAUGACGGCGGAGGGUGAGGGCGGCGCUUUAAUGGAGCGCACUAUGCCGGCGCGUGUCAAUUAUGCAGCGGAGGAGUUAGGCGCAAAGGUGCAUGAUGUGAACGCUGAGCCGCUGAAUGGCGGCAAUCUGGUGCGUUCAGUGCUCGGGCUGCAGUACAGCGCAAAUCCGCCUAUAAAUAUGCUAAAGCCCGGCAUGGAACCGGGCAAUUGUUUUGCUUUCAAGCGCGCCAAGGCGGUGGUGACCAUCAAGCUGGCGCAGGCGAUAUUUGUGGAGAGUUUCGAGUUGGCGCAUCUGUGCAAGGACAAUGCACCCAAUAAUGAUACAACGAGUGCGCCGAAGGAGUUCGAAGUUUACGUAAGUAUUCAGGGGACUUUAGUGACAGUUAUAGGUAGCGGAGUUUAGGUUUGGGGUUUUGAAAUAAAGAGAGGAAGAGAGAGCUGCAGCAUGAACUUCGCGCAUGUCUCCUAAAUGGCAUCACCGCUACUUCAUCGAAAGAAGCGAAGUUUGGUGACUUUACCUACACAAAUCAGCAUCCGCCCGCACAAAAUUAC